AUCAGCGUUAAUUAUCUUACAUAUAAAAUAUUAUAAAUUGUAUAGUCAAAAACAACACCAGUACUGAAAUAAGUUAUUAAAAUAUCUUUUAAUUCAUAUAUAAUUUACAUUAAAAGCGUUUAAAUGACACUAUAUGCCAUUAAUGGCAACACUCAAUUCGUUUGACAUUUCUCCGCAGAAACAUGUUGGAUAGCGCCAAGAGAUUUAUCUUAGUGCUUUUAAUUCUGCCACUACUGUACGAGCUCAAUAACGGCGAGCGCAACCUUGGCAUUGGUAUGUAUUACAUGAACUACACUGCCGGUCAAAGGUAUAACUUCAGUGUAUUCAAUUACAAAUUUUACAAUGUGGACAAUAAAAUCAUAGUUUAUGCUGAAUUUAAAUUAUAUGAAGAUGCUAAUUUCACAGUACAUGCCAAACUGGAUGUGCUACGUGCUAAUAAUAAUAAAAUGAAUUUGCUAAAUCUACAGCAAGACGGCUGUAAGCUAAUAAGCGGUGUGCAUAACAAUAGAUUAUGGAUGAUUACAUCAAAGCAGAUUGUUCGAGUUACCAACUUCCCGAAGAAGUGCCCACUUUCUGCAGUAAGUGCGUUAGAGAUUUAAAGAAUAAAUUGUAUAUCGUCAAUAACUACACCUUGGAAGCGGAAUCACUACCUUCAUUCAUAACGCCACUACACUGGAUAAUCCAAACAAAAUUUAUGCUUAACAAAAAAUACGUUGGAUAUAUAAUUCUUCAGGGUAAUAUUUUUAAACUUUAAACGAAUUCCACAAAUUUGAAAACCUGAAAAAAAUUGCGUAUAUUUAAAUAUAAUUGGCUACGAUUCUUUAAGUAGUGUAUUUAAUACAAAUUUCAGGAAAAACUUAUCCGUAAUUUUGAAUAUAUUACUUUCAAACAAUCGGGCGAAGAGACAGCCUACCGGAAAUAAAUUCGUGUCAUCAUGACUUUGAUU